GUCAGGUCAGUAUUUCCCUUACGUCUGGGGCUACAAACACGCUACAAUGGCCGGUACAAAGGGCAGCCAAGUCGCGAGACGGAGCAAAUCCCAUCAAAGCCGGUCCCAGUUCGGAUUGCAGGCUGAAACUCGCCUGCAUGAAGCCGGAAUCGCUAGUAAUCGCGGAUCAGCAUGCCGCGGUGAAUACGUUCCCGGGCCUU
rnacentral:rRNA from 1 species